CCCGUUUAUAAUUGCUUUUAGUUUCUAUUUUUGUUUCCAAAAACCCAGAAAAAAGGAAUUAGAUUGAACAACAGAUGUAAUGCAAUUCUUUUUUGUUUCUUGAAAUCAUGUAUAAAACCUUUAGAACUUUCGGUAGCAAAAAUAUAUUGCUUUUUAAAAAUGAGUGAAAAUAAAAGUCAGGAAUAGCAAAAGGUUUGUGCAGAUGCUAUCUUCAAUGC
rnacentral:lncRNA from 1 species